GACAGAGGAUGCAAGCGUUAUCCGGAAUUAUUGGGCGUAAAGAGUACGUAGGCGGCGUAUCAAGUCAGGGGUUAAAUCCCGCAGCUUAACUGCGGAUCUGCCUUUGAAACUGGUCGGCUAGAGUAUGGUAGGGGUAGAGGGAAUUCCCGGUGUAGCGGUGAAAUGCGUAGAUAUCGGGAAGAACACCGGUGGCGAAGGCGGCUUACUGGACCAUAACUGACGCUGAGGUACGAAAGCGUGGGGAGCGAACAGG
rnacentral:rRNA from 1 species